UAAGCGGUGGCACCCACCGGGCAGGGACAAACGUGCUCCUCGGGGGCACUGCGACUCACUGCUGCCUCGGAGAGCUCCCCGGAGGGCACCUCCUCACGGCCACCUCUCCGGGCUGUUGUGGCACCUGCUGAAGAAUCCCAGAAUUACCAAGGUUGGAAGACACCUGUAAGACCACCAAGUCCAACCUCAACGCAGCACUGCCACUGUAACCCCUAAACCAGUGAACCACAUUGCCCAGCACCAGAUCCAGAUAUUUCUUGAACACCUCCAGGGAUGGCACAGCAGAAGAGACCGGGUGCUCCACAUCACUACGACCUCCUUUCAGGUAGUUGUAGAGGGAGCUGCUGCUCUGAGAGGAGAAGAACUGGGACAGCAUGAGAACCCAGAGAAGCCCAGAGGGUCGAGGAUUAAGGGAGUGGUGUCCCUCUGCUCCGGUCCCACAGCACAGCAGGCUAGGAGGGCAGCUGGUGGCAAUGCUCCCCUGGGAAAGGAGGAUCUGGACUUUUAACUGAAAGAGGACAGCAUGUUACUCACGGCUCAGGAAGCUGAUGGAGCCUUUGCUCGAGGUGGCAGGGGUCAAAGUGGUUCAGUCACUGAACCUUUUCCCUUCUUUGACAGGCACACAUGAUAUGUGGCUCCCGGAGUUUUUGCCAUGUCACGCCAAUCCUGAGAGGCAAUGCCCAAGAGGUCUGGAAAAGAAGAUGCUGAAUCAGUCAUUCAGAUGUUAUGCUGACACAGAUAGCUCCAGCAAACCUUUGACAGCCCUUUUGUGCAAUUGAAACUGUCUGAAACAGCGGGCAGGAGCUGACAGCUUUACUUCUGGGGGUUUUGUCCUGUUUCCCCUUCGCUGCCUGUCCUCAGAGGGAUAGCAGAGAAAAGACAAAUCCCACUCAUUACUGCAACCUCAUGUCAGAGAGCUCUGCAGGCAGUCAACAAGCAGGUCCUGGGCUAUUUGGGGGACAGCCAGGGGCUUCAGAGGGCUCCUCCUUUCCCCCUUGGACUGGACUUCCCUUCCUGCAAGACCUCCAUAAGUCUCAGUGCCUGGAGUUCACAGAGAUCAUUUGCAUGUGAGGGGAGUUUCUCCAGAGGCAGAGACUUUGAGUCUCCAGCUGAUAGCUCCAUCUCACUGACCGCCAGCAGCCAGGAAUUUGGCUUGCCAUGCUUUGAAUUGGUCAUUUCAUCAGCUUCCUCCUGCUAGUCCUCCCUGUGACCUUGAAGAAGAAGGGGCAGCCUGGCAUCAACCAGCACAACUCCUCAGAGUCCAGAAAGUGUAGCAAGAUGGUGAUGGGCACCCAGUAACUCAUGGAAAGGUUCUGGUAGGGACAUCAGGGGAGCUCUUCCCAAAUGGCAGCUGCCUGGCCAAGCUCUGCUUGGCUGUUUCUUGGAGAGAACACCCUCCAGAGGCCACACAUUUCAGGACAUUCUGGACGGGAUCUGCCACAAGCCCCAGCUUUUCUGUGUGCUGUGAGGGAAAAGGCACUAAGCCUGGCCACUGCUCUCUUCCAGAAGGACAUUUGGAUUCUGUCCCCAGAAUGAAUUUCCAGAAGGUAUUGCAAGGCAUGGUACAAGGAGGAGAAGCCUUGAGGGGGCUGCAAGGCUCAGCCCCCUGGGCUGCCCCACUGCAGCAGGGCCUGGGGCUGAGCUGCUGGGGCUGCAAGGGCAGGGCUCCCCUUUGGGAAGGCGCUGGUUCCCUGUGGAUGCAGAGUGCCACCUACUGAGCCACCGCUCCCGGCAGCACCCGGGGUUCUCUGGCAGGACACCCAGGCUGGAGCUGCUGCUCAGAGAGUCCUUGCCCUGGCUGUUCCAUGGGGCUGGUCCCAGGGGACAGGGAGCUGCCCCAAAGGCUGGUGAGCCCCAAUGGGUGCAGCUUACAGAUGAGCAGGGAAUCUAUGCAAGGGGCUGCAUGUUCAGCACAGCUCUUGGCACCUGCCCUGAGCCAGACCUGGAUUUCCAUAGGCUGGCAGUGAAGUGAGACAAGAUGGGCUCAAGAGCCUGGCCAGUCCUCCCUGGGCCUUGACAAUCAUUUUGAAGACCUUCAGCACUGACUGGGCUCAGACAGCACCUGGCAGCACCCAGUGCAGGUGACAUUGGUGGUGAUAUCUCUUUGUCCCUUGGAUCCCUGUCCUUGUUUGUGGAACAGGGGGUGCCAGCACACAGCCACCACUUCCCAGCUGUGCCAUGAUGAUCCAGGGCAUAGGCACGGGCUUGUAGAGGAGCAGUGCCGCCCAUGCUGACAGCUGCUGGGCCUUGUCCUUGGCACAUCAUUGCUUCCAGGAGAGUCUGAGUGCCUGCUGGGAUCUUAUUCACUCUCUUUACUUUUGAUAAAACCCCUGAGAAAUGCGUGAAGGGAAAGGGAGUACCUGAAAUACCAUCCCAUUAAUGUUCUUCACUGACAUCAAAUGUUUAUUUUGCAGGGGUGGGCAGAGCUGACCUGGUGUUUGAACAUGAGUUAUCCUUUCUCAUCCAUCCAGCUGAGGACAGGUGGAAAAGGGUAAUGACUCAAACCAGAGUGGUGUCUGUCUGGGAAGCUCACCAGACUUUCACUUCUC